UUUGUAUCCCAUCUCAUUCCUUCAGUAAUUUUCUUGACCUUGUUCAGAACAUCAACUUCAUCUCGGAAGAUUACUGUCCCUUCAGGCCGCAAAAUUCGAUCCAUUUCCAGAAGGAUGUCUUCCAGAUUACACCUGUUUCAAUCAUUCAGGGAGAAGAAAAUGAUGAUGAUGAUGGAGAUGAGGCUUACUUGUUCUGGUACAAACUAAAGACACCAUUGGCAUGGAUAAAGUCAUAUGUCCUUGGGUAUGUUGAGAACCCUUCACACCUGAAAGAAGACAAAAUAUGAAAAUGUCACGAGGAUUUCAAAGCAAUGACCUUGUUAGGUUUCAAUAGUGAAAUUCUCAAGUUGAUCUCUCAAUGUAUUUCAUUUAAGAGAUGGAAUUUAAAGGGGUAAGAAAUGGCUUAUGAUUCUCAA